rnacentral:rRNA from 1 species
GACGAACGCUGGCGGCGUGCUUAACACAUGCAAGUCGAACGGAAAGACCAUGCUUUUGUGGGGUGCUCGAGUGGCGAACGGGUGAGUAAAACGUGAGUAACCUGCCCUUGACUUUGGGAUAAAUUCAGGAAAAUGGGGCUAAUACCGGAUAGGAGCUCCUGAUGCAUGGUGGGGGUUGGAAAGUUUCGGCGGUUGGGGAUGGAAUCGCGGCUUAUCCGCUUGUUGGUGGGGUAGUGGCUUACCAAGGCUUUGACGGGUAGCCGGCCUGAGAGGGUGACCGGCCACAUGGGUACUGAGAUACGGCCCAGACUCCUACCGGAGGCAGCAGUGGGGAAUAUUGCACAAUGGGCGGAAGCCUGAUGCAGCAACGCCGCGUGCGGGAUGACGGCCUUCGAGUUGUAAACCGCUUUCUCCUGUGACGAAGCGUGAUUGACGGUAAUGGGUAAAGAAGCACCGGCUAACUACGUG